GACGAACGCUGGCGGCGUGCCUAAUACAUGCAAGUAGAACGCUGAAGAGAGGAGCUUGCUCUUCUUGGAUGAGUUGCGAACGGGUGAGUAACGCGUAGGUAACCUGCCUGGUAGCGGGGGAUAACUAUUGGAAACGAUAGCUAAUACCGCAUAAAAUGGAUUAUCGCAUGAUAAUCCAUUGAAAGGUGCAAAUGCAUCACUACCAGAUGGACCUGCGUUGUAUUAGCUAGUUGGUGGGGUAACGGCUCACCAAGGCGACGAUACAUAGCCGACCUGAGAGGGUGAUCGGCCACACUGGGACUGAGACACGGCCCAGACUCCUACGGGAGGCAGCAGUAGGGAAUCUUCGGCAAUGGACGGAAGUCUGACCGAGCAACGCCGCGUGAGUGAAGAAGGUUUUCGGAUCGUAAAGCUCUGUUGUAAGAGAAGAACGAGUGUGAGAGUGGAAAGUUCACACUGUGACGGUAUCUUACCAGAAAAGGACGGCUAACUACGU
rnacentral:rRNA from 1 species